GCAUCUUUAGCUCAGUGGCAGAGCACUGGUCUUGUAAACCAGGGGUCGUGAGUUCAAUCCUUACAGGAGGCA
rnacentral:tRNA from 1 species